rnacentral:rRNA from 1 species
GUCUGAGCAAAAAAUCAAUGCAAAAAAACUUUCAACAACGGAUCUCUUGGUUCUGGCAUCGAUGAAGAACGCAGCGAAAUGCGAUAAGUAAUGUGAAUUGCAGAAUUCCGCGAAUCAUCGAAUCUUUGAACGCACAUUGCGCCCUUUGGUAUUCCGAGGGGCAUGCCUGUUCGAGCGUCAUU